AUCACCCAUGUAAACAGCACGCAAACAAGCUCUUCUUUAUUAAUGAGGUUUCACCUCACUUUUUUAUCUCUGAAAAUUGUAUUCAGUUCCUCUCCCCACAAAGUUUUAGCCUAAUGUACUAUAUUCUUAUGCCUGAAAAUCUCUUAUUGAUCACACCAUCUUCUCUGUACCAAAAACUAUGGAUGUAAACUGGCUUUAAAAUUUUCUGUGAUCAUAAGUCACUAAGUGUUUUUAAAAUGUUAUUCUGGAAAGUUAUGAUUACAAAUAUUAGUAUGUGAUUGAUCAAAACUAUAAAUAUUACAAAUAUUGAUAGAUACUGAUUAAACAAAAUGUUACUAUAUAUUUCAUUUUUUUAUGAGUUGAUUGGAUUUCCCCCAUUGUGUGUACCCAUGGAUAAAUACGAAGCUUAUUUCUACAGCUUCAUUUCUUCCUCAUUCUCAUUUUUACAGGUAUAAGCACUCAGAAAUCUUGUCACAUAAAUAAGGAAUAGAAAUGAAAGGAAGGAGUAUUGGAGCAAUGUUACUCAAUUAUUUUAACUCCCUUUGAGCUUUAUGCUCAAAAUCAAUAGUAAUCCAUCAUCAAGAAUUAUUUUUUGUUGCAACUUGGUGAUAGGUAAAUGAGAGUUCCUUAUACUAUUUGUGUAUGUUUCCAUUUAUCAUAAUAUAAGUUAAAGACGCUAUGUUUACUCUCUAUUGGCUGACAAAAGGAUUGGGCCCUCCUGCAAUUUUGUUGCAAGCAAAAAAUAGAAACUACUCGACUGGCCAAAGGAUUUGUCUCCCAGUACUCUAAGCUCUUUUUCCUCUCCAGUCCCAGAGCAGGACUUCCAACUGGCCUUGCCAGUUGGGAGCAUUUGUCUUUCUUUCCCAAAGCAAGAAGCUGCUUUCUCAGGGAGUCAGUGCCCCAUUUGAAGACUGUGGUGGAUGACUGUAAUGGACCCCUUGGCCAAGGACCUGGGGAAGUGGGUCAGACCAGGAAGAAUGAAAGAAAGAUUCCAUCUCAGAAUUUCUGGAGGCCAGAAGUCCAAGAUCAAGGUGUCGGCAGGUGCCUACUGUGUGCAGUGCUGCGCCCACGGGAGAGGCAGCCAAGGCCUAGAGGCAGAGCCCAGGCCCUGGGCGUGCUGACUCGGGACUUCUCCUCCUCCGGCCCUUCCUCCCAACUCCUGGCUGCGGAGCCUGACCCCCACUUGGACAAACAUCUUGCGGCCAUUUCCGCCUCGCCUGCCCGGAGCCCCAGCCUGGCCUGAACAAACACUCGGGACCUGUGCUUCCGGCCUCAGCUCUGGGAAAAGCCCAGCCAGGGGCCAUUGAGGUCAACCCUGGAGGGAAGUGGGAAGGAGGCACCAGGGGCCUAAUCACACCCAUCUCAGAGGACCCUAGGGGGGCAAGAAGCACCCUCUGGGCCUGGCACCAAGAGGGGGACACUGCCCACAGGGCUGUGAGAGGCCUGGGGAGGGUGCUCCAAGGGACUCCCCCAAGGGACCACAGUGCUAGAAGAACCUCCCUCCUGUGGCUUCCCCAUUCUUGUUCCCUUUUUUUUUUAAAUUAAUUUAUUUAAUUUAUUUAUUUUUG